GAGCCAUUAGCUCAGUUGGUAGAGCAUCUGACUUUUAAUCAGAGGGUCGAAGGUUCG
rnacentral:tRNA from 1 species